rnacentral:rRNA from 1 species
UACGGGGGGGGCAAGCGUUGUUCGGAAUUACUGGGCGUAAAGGGCUCGUAGGCGGCCAACUAAGUCGGAUGUGAAAUCCCCAGGCUUAACCUGGGAACUGCAUCCGAUACUGGAUGGCUUGAAUCCGGGAGAGGGAUGCGGAAUUCCAGGUGUAGCGGUGAAAUGCGUAGAUAUCUGGAGGAACACUGGUGGCGAAGGCGGCAUCCUGGACCGGCAUUGACGCUGAGGAGCGAAAGCCAGGGGAGCAAACGGG